UUGAGAAAAAGGAAAGAAGGAGAUAUCUCCAAGGCCAUUUCGGCCAAGUGCAAAAAUUGCCAAGAAAAUUGACAAAAAUUUCUUCAAAAAUUAUUUUCUACCAAUUAAAGGAUUCCUAGCAAGGUGGAGUGGUCUUUGGAGCAAGAAAAAUCCAUAUUCUAGCAAGUUGCAAGUCUUAGCUAAGUGAAAGAUCAAGGAAGAAGAUUUCGGCGGAUUUGCAACUUGAAUUUGGAAUAGCAAAAGGAGCGGAAAGAGGUCAGCAGACAGGCGGAUUUGGUUCCUAGGAGCCCUACCAGCAAUACUUGUCAGCGCUCCAGUUGCCCCGGAGCCUCAGUUUCUUGGUACUAUUUUGUGUAUAUAUUCAGGCACGACAGUACUCGGCCCUUUCUAUGUAUAUGUGUACUAUGUUUAGAGGCUCGUAGACAGAUAUGUACAGUUAGAUGUUUUGUAUUUUGUAUUUUGGAUUGUUCGCGUCGCUGUAUAACGUGAUAGCAAAGUUUACCAGUCUUUGUUUAUGACGAUGCUACUAAUGUUAAUGUCCAGUAACGAAAAACAAUAUAUAUAUGGCAUAGUUCCUACGGCCCGCUGAGAGGUAAAGGUAAAAGGAUAGAUAAGGGGUGCUCGGUACAAGUAUCGGGUACCUGUCGCGGCCCUAGUUGGGUCGUGACAGUUUAUUAC